GACGAACGCUGGCGGCGUGCUUAACACAUGCAAGUCGAACGGAAGGGCCCUGCUUUUGUGGGGUGCUCGAGUGGCGAACGGGUGAGUAACACGUGAGUAACCUGCCCUUGACUUUGGGAUAACUUCAGGAAACUGGGGCUAAUACCGGAUAGGAGCUCCUGCUGCAUGGUGGGGGUUGGAAAGCUUCGGCGGUUGGGGAUGGACUCGCGGCUUAUCAGCUUGUUGGUGGGGUAGUGGCUUACCAAGGCUUUGACGGGUAGCCGGCCUGAGAGGGUGACCGGCCACAUUGGGACUGAGAUACGGCCCAGACUCCUACGGGAGGCAGCAGUGGGGAAUAUUGCACAAUGGGCGGAAGCCUGAUGCAGCAACGCCGCGUGCGGGAUGACGGCCUUCGGGUUGUAAACCGCUUUCGCCUGUGACGAAGCGUGAGUGACGGUAAUGGGUAAAGAAGCACCGGCUAACUACGUG
rnacentral:rRNA from 1 species